rnacentral:rRNA from 1 species
GACGAACCGUGCGAACGUUAUUCGGAAUCACUGGGCUUAAAGCGCGUGUAGGCGGGCCGGCACGUCCGGUGCUGAAAUCCCCCGGCUCAACCGGGGAAGGGGCACGGAAACGACCGGCCUGGAGGGGGGUAGGGGGGACGGGAACUCACGGUGGAGCGGUGAAAUGCGUUGAGAUCGUGAGGAACGCCCGCGGCGAAAGCGCGUCCCUGGACCCCGCCUGACGCUGAGACGCGAAAGCCAGGGUAGCGAACGGG